UACGUAGGGUGCAAGCGUUGUCCGGAAUUAUUGGGCGUAAAGAGCUCGUAGGCGGUCUGUCGCGUCUGGUGUGAAAAUCAGGGCUUAACCCUGGACCUGCAUCGGGUACGGGCAGACUAGAGUGCGGUAGGGGGAGAUCGGAAUUCCUGGUGUAGCGGUGAAAAUGCGCAGAUAUCAGGAGGAACACCGGUGGCGAAGGC
rnacentral:rRNA from 1 species